GACGAACGCUGGCGGCGUGCCUAAUACAUGCAAGUCGAACGCAGUGGGGACGGGUGAGUAACACGUGGGUAACCUCCCAUCAGAGGGGAUAACACUUGGAAACAGGUGCUAAACCGAUACUGAUGGAUGGACCCGCGGUUCAUUAGCUAGGUGGUGAGGUAACGGCUCACCAAGUCCACGAUGCAUAGCAGGCCUAAGAGGGUGUUCGACCACAAGGGGACUGAGACACGGCCCAGACUCCUACGGGAGGCAGCAGUAGGGAAUCUUCGUCAAUGGACGAAAGUCUGACCGAGCAACGCCGCGUGUGUGAGGAAGGUUUUCGGAUCGUAAAACUCUGUUGUUAGAGAAGCGUUAUUUAACCAGAAAGCCACGGCUAACUACGUGCCAGCAGCCGCGGUAAUUC
rnacentral:rRNA from 1 species